AAUCUCGUGCCAGCCACCGCGGUUAUACGAGAAACCCAUAUUAAUAUGUGCGGCCCAAAGGGUAGUUUAAGACAUAAUAAAAUAGAAUUUAAAAUUUAUUUAAUAGUUAUAUAUAAACAUAAAAUGUAAAACCAAAAACGAAAGUUAUACUAUAUAUCCUUGAAUCUACUAUAGUUGAGAAACAAACUAGGAUUAGAUACCCCACUAUGCUCAACUUUAAAUGGACCUUCCCGCCAGAGCACUACGAGCCACAGCUUAAAACUCAAAGGACUUGGCGGUGCUCUACACCCACCUAGAGGAGCCUGUUCUAUAAUCGACAUUCCCCGAUAAACCUCACCAUCUCUAGCUAUUACAGCCUAUAUACCACCGUCUUCAGUUUACCUUCCAAAAGAAUAAUAGUAAACAAAAUAAUUUAAAAUAAAAAAGUCAGGUCAAGGUGCAGCAAAUGAAAUGGGAAGAAAUGGGCUACAUUUUUUAAUUAUUAAAAAACACGGAAUAUUCUAUGAAAUAGUAUAUAAAGGAGGAUUUAGAAGUAAAAAGAAAAAAGAGUGUUCUUUUUAAAUUGGCAAUAGAGCACGCACACACCGCCCGUCACCCUCUUCGAAAAAUUAAAUAAAUUAAAUAAAUAUAUAAAUUUUAUAAGAAAAGGUAAGUCGUAACAUGGUAAGCCUACCGGAAGGUGGUCUUAGAUAU
rnacentral:rRNA from 1 species